GCAACAUCUGAAGUAUCAGUGUGUUAUCAACACUAUUCUCAUACAAAACCCAAAACACAGCAGUGUACCAGCUACUAGAAAGAAAAUUAACUCUAUUCCAGCCAAACCAAGGACAGAUAUGUACAAAUUUUCUUCAUGCCUGACAUAGUUGAAUUGUUUACUACGCACAAUGGAAAUCUGCAUUUUACUAAAAAUAAUUUUUUCUUCAGUUUUUUCAAUGGGACAAAGAACUGAAGGAAGUGGUACUUUCAGGAAGGGCUUAUGAGAGAGACCAGCCUGUCUGGAAGAGGAAUGGAGACUUCAGCUUGAAGACAGAGUAUAACAGCAAAAGUGACUCACUUCCUAGAGACACAUGAAUCAGCACAAAACAAAUUAAACAAAGCAACAUUAAACAGCAGCAAAGAAAUCCUUAAAUCGUCAUAAGAAAAUGCCAAACAUCCAACAGGGCUGGAAGAGAGAAGGUACAGGGUGACAUAAAAUGGAGGAUGCUGCAAGCAAUAAUGAAAAGGAGAGAUGAAGAUACAGAUGGUGAAGAAAGGUCCUGUGAACGAGAUGCAGUUAUUUUUUUAUCUCAGCAGUAAGCAGGUGAUUCAGCAUCAAACGCUUCAAAAAGUGAUAAAUUCAUUUCCAAAACCCAGUAAUCAUUACUAAAAGCACAUCUCCAAAGAAUUGAGAUGCUUUUGACUCAGCUGGGAACACAUUCACCAUCUGAGUAAGUGUUGCAACGACUGAAGGUGGUAAAGGCCAGGUAAAUUUGUUACUAUUAAUGUACUUCAAAAAAACUGGGAGCAUCUUUUCUUCUUCCCCCAAACCUAACCAACCAACACUGCCUUGUCUAUUAUAAAACUCACCUGGUAACAGCCAGAAACACUCCUCAUGUUUAUUAGUACAAAAUAGCUGAGGUCACAGUUUCCUGCCCUCUCUACCAUGUUAGCAAACUAGGCAAGCAUAUAUUGAAAAACAUUAAGAUGAUAAC
rnacentral:lncRNA from 13 species